UACGGGGGGAGCAAGGCGUUGUUCGGAUUUACUGGGCGUAAAGGGCGCGUAGGCGGCCAGCACAAGUCAGUUGUGAAAUCUCCGAGCUUAACUCGGAACGGUCAACUGAUACUGUGCGGCUAGAGUGCGGAAGGGGCAACUGGAAUUCUUGGUGUGAGCGGUGAAAUGCGUAGAUAUCAAGAGGAACACCUGCGGCGAAGGCGGGUCUCUGGGCCGAAUGACUGACGCUGGAGGAGCGAAAGCGUGGGGAGCGAACAGG
rnacentral:rRNA from 1 species